UCCAGGAAAGGAAAUGCAGUAGAAGUUGGAUUUGUUAAGAGCUUUCUCUGGCCUGUUAUGAAACAUUUCAAAUUUGGUAGUUUGUCAGAAGAGUUUACAUCAGCAUUUUGAAGGAGGAUAAUGAGACAACUUGAAGUCACCAGAGCUGCUCCAAGUAGAUGAAGGCUAGAAAAGAACAUAAACAGAACUGAAAAUCAAGCAGGAAACAAUUUUCUCAGCACACCUGUUGAGGAGAGAAACAAGGCUCCUUCAACCAUCAAUCUGUGGGACCUCAGAGCUCAGCCUGAAAGCAAAGGCGAAACGAAAUACGAAAAUUGCAGUGCAGCAGAAGAGGAGUCAGCUAUCUGCGGGCCUCUGCUGAAAUCCCAUC